GCCGAAGUGGCGAAAUUGGCAGACGCGCUAGACUCAAAAUCUGGUGUCCUUUGGACGUGUGGGUUCGAGUCCCACCUUCGGUACCA
rnacentral:tRNA from 2 species